UACGUAGGGUGCAAGCGUUGUCCGGAAUUAUUGGGCGUAAAGAGCUCGUAGGCGGUUUGUCGCGUCGAAUGUGAAAACCCGGGGCUCAACCCCGGGCCUGCAUUCGAUACGGGCAGACUAGAGUUCGGUAGGGGAGUCUGGAAUUCCUGGUGUAGCGGUGAAAUGCGCAGAUAUCAGGAGGAACACCAAUGGCGAAGGCAGCUCGCUGGGACGGUACUGACGCUGAGGCGCGAAAGCGUGGGGAGCAAACAGG
rnacentral:rRNA from 1 species